rnacentral:rRNA from 1 species
GAUAAACGCUGGCGGCGCACAUAAGACAUGCAAGUUGAACGGACUUAAUCGAAAUAUUUAUAUUUUGAAGCGGUUAGUGGCGGACUGGUGAGUAACGCGUAAGGAACCUGCCUAUUAGAGGGGAAUAACAGUGAGAAAUCAUUGCUAAUACCGCAUAUGCCAUAGAUAUCACAUGAUAACAGUGGGAAAGGAGCAAUCCGCUAAUAGAUGGCCUUGCGUCUGAUUAGAUAGUUGGUGGGGUAACGGCCUACCAAGUCGACGAUCAGUAGCCGGACUGAGAGGUUGGACGGCCACAUUGGGACUGAGGUACGGCCCCGACUCCUACGGGAGGCAGCAGGCGGGAAUAUUGCGCAAUGGAGGAAACUCUGACGCAGUGACGCCGCGUAUAGGAAGAAGGUUUUCGGAUUGUAAACUAUUGUCGUUAGGGAAGAGAAAGGACAGUACCUAAGGAGGAAGCUCCGGCUAACUACGUG